rnacentral:snRNA from 11 species
UUAAUUUACUUUUGCAGCACUGAAGUGAUCAACGAGACUUCGGGCCAAGUUGAGACAUUGCAUUGCACAUAGCCUUGUUUUUUGACUUGCAACCUUGCCUUUGGCAUUGUUGAGCAGAAAAUUUAUUAUACUCGGGGUAGCGUUCGCGCACCCUCAU